UGCCAGUGAUGAAAAGAUUCUGCCAAAUGAGCCCUGAUUAUAUUAUUUUACCGUUCCAUUUUUUGUCUGAGGUC